rnacentral:tRNA from 2 species
GGGGGUAUAGCUCAGUUGGUAGAGCAGUUGACUCUUAAUCAAUUGGUCCAAGGUUCGAGUCCUUGUGCCCCCACCA